GAUGUAACUUUCCAAGCGAUACAGAAGCAGUGCGUACUGUCUGUGCCUUAGACGCCCAACUACAAGCGUGCUAUCGAACCUUGCUGCCGAUAAUCGUAUAAGAAAUCUUUACAUGUUGACAGACGAACGCAGCAUCAGUCCUCCUUCGCCGAUCCAUUUCGAAUUCCUGCCUGCUUGACCCGCAGCCCGUUGGUCGUGCCUCGUACCAGGGUGACUUGGUUAGCCUCUGAUUUGGGAUUGAAGAAAAUUUUUUCCAACACAAC